GACGAACGCUGGCGGCGUGCUUAACACAUGCAAGUCGAACGAAGAGCGAUGGAAGCUUGCUUCUAUCAAUCUUAGUGGCGAACGGGUGAGUAACGCGUAAUCAACCUGCCCUUCAGAGGGGGACAACAGUUGGAAACGACUGCUAAUACCGCAUACGAUCUAAUCUCGGCAUCGAGGAUAGAUGAAAGGUGGCCUCUACAUGUAAGCUAUCACUGAAGGAGGGGAUUGCGUCUGAUUAGCUAGUUGGAGGGGUAACGGCCCACCAAGGCGAUGAUCAGUAGCCGGUCUGAGAGGAUGAACGGCCACAUUGGGACUGAGACACGGCCCAGACUCCUACGGGAGGCAGCAGUGGGGAAUCUUCCGCAAUGGAGGAAAGUCUGACGGAGCAACGCCGCGUGAGUGAUGACGGCCUUCGGGUUGUAAAGCUCUGUUAAUCGGGACGAAAGGCCUUCUUGCGAAUAGUGAGAAGGAUUGACGGUACCGGAAUAGAAAGCCACGGCUAACUACGUG
rnacentral:rRNA from 1 species